rnacentral:rRNA from 1 species
GAUGAACGCUAGCGGCAGGCUUAACACAUGCAAGUCGAGGGGUAUAGGUUUUCGGACCUAGAGACCGGCGCACGGGUGCGUAACGCGUAUGCAAUCUACCUUUCACAGAGGGAUAGCCCAGAGAAAUUUGGAUUAAUACCUCAUAGUAUAGCAGUUUCGCAUGAAACCACUAUUAAAGUAUCAACGGUGAAAGAUGAGCAUGCGUCCCAUUAGCUAGAUGGUAAGGUAACGGCUUACCAUGGCUACGAUGGGUAGGGGUCCUGAGAGGGGGAUCCCCCACACGGGUACUGAGACACGGACCAGACUCCUACGGGAGGCAGCAGUGAGGAAUAUUGGUCAAUGGACGCAAGUCUGAACCAGCCAUGCCGCGUGCAGGAUGACGGUCCUAUGGAUUGUAAACUGCUUUUGUACGAGAAGAAACAACAUUACGUGUAAUGUCUUGACGGUAUCGUAAGAAUAAGGAUCGGCUAACUCCGUGCCAGCCGCCGCAGUAACAC